rnacentral:rRNA from 1 species
AGAGUUUGAUCCUGGCUCAGGAUGAACGCUGGCGGCGUGCCUAACACAUGCAAGUCGAGCGGGAUAUAUCUGAUUGAAGUUUCGACGGAUUGAAGAUAUUGAGAGCGGCGGACGGGUGAGUAACGCGUAGGCAACCUGCCCCUUACACAGGGAUAGCCACUGGAAACGGUGAUUAAAACCUGAUAACACCAAGAAUUCACAUGUUUUCCUGGUCAAAGAUUUAUCGGUAAGGGAUGGGCCUGCGUCUGAUUAGCUAGUUGGUGAGGUAACGGCCCACCAAGGCAACGAUCAGUAGCCGACCUGAGAGGGUGAUCGGCCACAUUGGAACUGAGACACGGUCCAAACUCCUACGGGAGGCAGCAGUGGGGAAUAUUGCACAAUGGAGGAAACUCUGAUGCAGCAACGCCGCGUGAAGGAUGAAGGUCUUCGGAUCGUAAACUUCUGUCCUUAGGGAAGAUAAUGACGGUACCUUUGGAGGAAGCCCCGGCUAACUACGUGCCAGCAGCCGCGGUAAUACGUAGGGGGCAAGCGUUAUCCGGAAUUAUUGGGCGUAAAGAGUGCGUAGGUGGUUACCUAAGCAGGGGGUGAAAGGCAUUGGCUUAACCAAUGUUAGCCCCCUGAACUGGGCUACUUGAGUGCAGGAGGGGAAAGCGGAAUUCCUAGUGUAGCGGUGAAAUGCGUAGAUAUUAGGAGGAACACCGGUGGCGAAGGCGGCUUUCUGGACUGUAACUGACACUGAGGCACGAAAGUGUGGGGAGCAAACAGGAUUAGAUACCCUGGUAGUCCACACCGUAAACGAUGAGCACUAGGUGUCGGGGGUGUACGCCCUCGGUGCCGCAGUUAACGCAUUAAGUGCUCCGCCUGGGGAGUACGUACGCAAGGUUGAAACUCAAAGGAAUUGACGG